AAGGAGUGAAGCCAAAUGGGUGUAUUGAAGAUAUAAAUUAUCUUUAAACCUGAAGUAAACAUUAUCUUCUCAGGCUAAAGGAAAGGAAAUAUGUAUUCAAGUGGAGAUGAAAGUUUUUUUGCUAUGAUAGAUAUCACCUAAGAGCUUCACUAUUCUCUAUAAAGCAUGUGGCAAGCCAAUGAUCAGAGUAUUGUGGAGAAUGCACUUACUACAUUCUGAGAACACUGUGACAUUAUUUGAUUUCUUCUCCAUUUUUUCAUAUGUAAAUGAAGUUUCCAUAUUGGGAGAGGUCAUAUGGAUACAGCCAUGUAACAGGGACCUGUGGGUGAUCUCCGUGAGCUCAGACAACCCCUGGCCAACAGCCAGCAAGAAAAGAGGGACCUCAUGCCAGCCACAAGGAGACGAAUUCUGCUAACAAUGUGAGGGAUCUUGCAAGUGGAUUCUUCUCAAGUUCAGCUUCUGAUGGGACCACAGCUCCAAUCAACACAUGGGUUUCUCCCUGGAGAGACACUGAAACAGAGAACCUAGUGAUGCUGUGUCCCAACCUCUACAUUCCAGAAACUUUGAGGGGAAAAAAAGCAUUCUAGUUUUAGCUGCUAAAUUUGUGGUAAUUUGCUAAGCAGUAUAGAAAACUAAUACACUAUCACUUCUCUUUCUGUAAUGUUUUCCUCUGUUAGUCAAAUCACAUUUUGAAUCAACAGAUACUUCAUGAGCUUUUUGUUUUGUAGCAGGUCCUAUUAAGAAUUAAUCUCGGGGCGCCUGGAUGGCGC